rnacentral:rRNA from 1 species
GACGAACGCUGGCGGCGUGCUUAACACAUGCAAGUCGAACGGAAAGGCCCCUUUGGGGGUACUCGAGUGGCGAACGGGUGAGUAACACGUGAGUAACCUGCCCUUGACUUCGGGAUAACUUCAGGAAACUGGGGCUAAUACCGGAUAGGAAUCCUUGCUGCAUGGUGGGGGUUGGAAAGCUUCGGCGGUUUUGGAUGGACUCGCGGCUUAUCAGCUUGUUGGUGGGGUAGUGGCUUACCAAGGCUUUGACGGGUAGCCGGCCUGAGAGGGCGACCGGCCACAUUGGGACUGAGAUACGGCCCAGACGCCUACGGGAGGCAGCAGGGGGGAAGAUUGCACAAUGGGCGGAAGCCUGAUGCAGCAACGCCGCGGGCGGGAUGACGGCCUUCGGGUUGUAAACCGCUUUCAGCAGGGGCGAAGCUUGUGGUGACGGUACCUGCAGAAGAAGCACCGGCUAACUACGUG